rnacentral:rRNA from 1 species
ACUCAAAGGAAUAGACGGGGACCCGCACAAGCGGUGGAACAUGUGGUUUAAUUCGAUGCUACGCGAAGAACCUCACCAGGGCUUGACAUGCUCGUCGUAUCCCUGUGAAAGCAGGGAGUCAUUUAGUUGGACGAUGCACAGGUGCUGCAUGGCUGUCGUCAGCUCGUGUCGUGAGAUGUUGGGUUAAGUCCCGCAACGAGCGCAACCAUUGCCCUAUGUUGCCACUUUAUCCUUUGGGGUAAAAGCACUCUUAGGGGACUGCCUGGGAUAACCAGGAGGAAGGUGGAGAUGACGUCAAGUCAGUACGGCCUUUAUGCCCUGGGCUACACACGUGUUACAAUGGCAGGUACAAAGGGUUGCCAACCCGCGAGGGGGAGCUAAUCUCAAAAAGCCUGCCUCAGUUCGGAUUGGAGUCUGCAACUCGACUCCAUGAAGCCGGAAUCGCUAGUAAUGGAAGAUCAGCUCGCUUCCGUGAAUACGUUCCCGGGUCUUGUACACACCGCCCGU